rnacentral:tRNA from 1 species
CCUUAGUACGAAAGGACCAGGGUUAUGAAAUAAUUUUUUGUUAUUGAUUAUUAUUAACUAUUUUGGCAGAAAAGUGCCAUGGAUUUAGAAUCCAUAAAUGUGAGAUAAACUCAUAAGUAGUAC